UACGUAGGGUGCAAGCGUUAAUCGGAAUUACUGGGCGUAAAGAGCUCGUAGGUGGUUUGUCGCGUUGUUCGUGAAAACUCACAGCUCAACUGUGGGCGUGCGGGCGAUACGGGCAGACUGGAGUACUGCAGGGGAGACUGGAAUUCCUGGUGUAGCGGUGGAAUGCGCAGAUAUCAGGAGGAACACCGGUGGCGAAGGCGGGUCUCUGGGCAGUAACUGACGCUGAGGAGCGAAAGCGUGGGGAGCGAACAGG
rnacentral:rRNA from 1 species